rnacentral:tRNA from 1 species
UGGGCUAUAACUCAGUUGGUUAGAGUGUCACAUUGACAUUGUGGAAGUCGGCAGUUCGAGUCUGCCUAGCCCAAC